CGAGAGGAGUUGGUUAUCGCGAGGUUUUCUUCGAGGAAAGUCCGGACACCAUAGAGCAAUAUAGCGGGUAAUGCCCGUCCACCGUGAGGUGAGGACAAGUGCAACAGAAAGCAAGUACAGUUCGGCUGUAGUGAAAUCAGGUAAACUCUAUAUGGUGCAAGCUCAAAUAGGCCAACGUUUUACAGCUGCUCGUUGGAGUUGGCGGGUAGAGUGCUCGAGUUUGUCAGUAAUGGCGAACCUAGACGAAUGAUAGCCCCAAAGACAGAAUCCGGCUUACUCUCCUCUCGGUUC
rnacentral:RNase_P_RNA from 1 species